UCCUACGGGAGGCAGCAGUCGAGAAUCAUUCACAAUGGGGGAAACCCUGAUGGUGCGACGCCGCGUGGGGGAAUGAAGGUCUUCGGAUUGUAAACCCCUGUCAUGUGGGAGCAAAUUAAAAAGAUAGUACCACAAGAGGAAGAGACGGCUAACUCUGUGCCAGCAGCCGCGGUAAUACAGAGGUCUCAAGCGUUGUUCGGAAUAACUGGGCGUAAAGGAUGCGUAGGCGGUUAAACAAGUUAUAUGUUAAAUAUAUAGGCUUAACCUGUAGAAAGCUUAUAAAA
rnacentral:rRNA from 1 species